UGGGGUAGCAGAGCUUUUGUCUCCAUCUCCACCAUGGCCCACACUCCUGUCCUCCUCCUGCACCUCCUCUUCAUGCUCUGCAUAGAUUUCGUGAGUUCUGUGCCGAAUCAGCCACCAUCAGCAUCUGUGGCCCUGGGACAAACAGCCACAGUCACCUGCUCCGGUGUUAGUGCUAGCUAUGUGCACUGGUACCAGCAGAAAGCCGGCCAGGUCCCCGUGCUGGUUAUAUACGAUAAUAACAAGCGACCCUCCGGGAUCCCCGACCGGUUCUCCGGCUCUAAAUCUGGGAGCACGGCCACGCUGACCAUCUCGAGGGCCCAGGCCGAGGACGAGGCCGAUUAUUACUGUCAGGACUAUGUAAGCAGUAGUAAUCCUCACAGUGAUAGAGGAUGA